AUUGAACGCUGGCGGCAGGCCUAACACAUGCAAGUCGAACGAGUGGCGGACGGGUGAGUAAUGUCUGUGCAACUGCCCGUUGGAGGGGGAUAACAACUGGAAACGGUAGCUAAUACCGCAUACGAUCGGAUGUGCACCGAUGGGAUUCGCUAGUAGGUGGGGUAACGCCUCACCUAGGCGACGAUCCCUAGCUGGUCUGAGAGGAUGACCAGCCACAAGGGAACUGAGACACGGUCCAGGAUCCUACGGUAGGCAGCAUUGGGGAAUAUUGCACAAUGGGCGCAAGCCGGAGGCAGCCAUGCCGCGUGUAUGAAGAAGGCCUUCGGGUUGUAAAGUACGUUGAGCGAGGAGGCGUUACUAGAAGAAGAAGCACCGGCUAACUCCGUGCCAGCAGCCGCGGUAAUAC
rnacentral:rRNA from 1 species